rnacentral:lncRNA from 1 species
CAGUGCCGCUGCACUCCAGCCUGGUGACAGAGCGAGACUCCAUCUCAAAAAAAAAAAAAAAAUUAAAAAAAAACUUUUUUAAUGUGAAAAGAAAGAAAGAAAUUAUGAUUACCCACUCUGUGGUUAGGAUAGGACAAUAGGCUUAGUUCCUGUAUGGUGACAGUGGUAGGGAGAUUACAUUAGUUUCCUGUGUAACAAUUAACCACAACCUUAGAGGCUUAAAACAACACAUAUUUAUUAUCUCACAUUUUCAGUGGGCCAAAAUUCUGGGUGUGGCUCUGCUCAGAGUCUCUCAAGGCUAUAAUUAAGACGUCAGCCAGCGCUGUAGCCUCAUCUGAGGCUUGACUGGAGAAGGAACCAUUUUUGUUGGCAGAAUUUAGUUCCUUUACAUUUGUAGGACUGAGGGCUUCAGUUUCUUGCUGUCAGCCAGAGGUUGCCCUCAGUUCCUAGAAGCUGUCUUCAGUUCCUUACCAUGUGAGCCUCCCAACAUAGGCAGCCCACAACAGUAGCUCGAUUCUUCAAAGCCAGCAAGGGAGGUACUCCAGCAAGAGGAGUGCUACAAACUUGUUUAACACAAUUACAUACACAUAAUUAUGUACAGUCCGUUGCCUGUACUGUAUUCUAUUGAUUGGAAGCAAGUCAAAGGUCCCUCUCAUACCCAAGAGGAGAGGAAUCACUCAAGGGUGUUCUUGUUGUCUCAGAUGCCAGCGAUACAGUUAGGGGGAAAACAGUUCCCAUAAGACCACCCUCAUUUCUGUCAACAAUUGCAAUUUCAAGGGAUUCCUAAAACCACCCUGAGGUUUGAUGAAAGACUCACAGAACUCACUAAAACCACUAUGCUCAUGGUUGCAGUUUAUUAUAUAGUAAGCAUGCAAGUUUAAAUCAGCCAAAGGAAGAAGUGCGUAAGGCAGAGUUUAAGAGAGUAGCAAACACAGCACUUUCUGUUGUCUUUUGGUGGAGUCAUGGACAUGUUAUUCUCUUGGCAUCAAUGUGUGCCAAUACACGCAGAAUAUUGCCAGCCAGGGAAGCUCACCUGAGCCAUGUCCAGAGUUCUUACUGCAGCUCAUGGUUGGCUGGACAUAUGUCUAACCUCAGUCUCCAGCUCCUCUGGAAGGCAAACAGUAUAAGCUGAUACCAUGACCCAAAGACCCCACCAUAAAUCACAUUGUUAUACUUUCUGGCACAUUCCAAGAAUUCAGCCAUUACCUUUCAGAAGCCAAGGGCAAAGGUGAGACUUUUCUUUGGGUUAGGUUAAAUUCCUUACUACAUAGAUAUGAACCUCAGGAGGUGGGGGGCCACAGGACAACCCUGAGGGUCCGACUGUCACAGGUAUGCAAAAACUGAAUUAAUCUUCCUUAUAGUGGGAAGUCAGUAAAUGUCAAAUUUUUAAAACCAAGAAAUUGCAGUAUAAGCAAGUUAUUAAUGGCUAAAAGAUGAAAAGGUUACAUCUUGGGAGUGGAAAAUGAAGGGUGGAAGGGUUCGGGACUACUUUUUUUUUUAAAUAAAAUGAUUUUAUUUAGUUAGUUUGUAAAUGUGAAUAUAGUUGGCAAAAACCAAACCAAAACAGCAUAAAACCAAAAAAUGACAGUUAUAUGAUUGAUCAUGCCCAAGUACAACAGCAUUUAUUAGUAGAAUAUAAAAAAUAAAUUUUAUGGCUGGGUGCCAUGGCUCAUGCCUGUAAUCCCAGCACUUUGGGAGGACGAGGCGGGCGGAUCACCUGAGGUCAGGAGUUCAAGACCAGCCUGAUCAACAUGGAGAAACCCCGUCUCUACUAAAAAUACAAAAUUGGCCGGGUGUGGUGGCGCAUGCCUGUAAUCCCAGCUACUCAGGAAGGCUGAGGCAGAAGAAUUGCUUGAACCUGGGAGGCAGAGGUUGCAGUGAGCCGAGAUUGUGCCAUUGCA